GGGCCCCGCAGGCGCUGGGGUGGUAUUGACGGGCCACCCACUGCCCGGCUCUGAUCCCAGCCCUGGGCGUUUCUUUUCCCUUGUCAGACCGAAGGGCCCAGCUGACCAUCGAUCUCGUGGGCUUGAGCUGUCGGAGCCACCGGCGGCGUGGCAUUCUGAUGUCAAACAGCCCGGUGCUUCUGAACAACCCCCACUCCCCGCACGUCACCUCCUUCCCCAGACUCCCCGGUGCCUGCUCUCCUGCCUGAUUAGGUCCCAGGCGUCUCGCUGCGUACCUGACAGCCCUCAGUCACGGAAUCCAUAAGUAUCUGCCUUCACCGGGGGCUCCACGGCCUUGACUCAAUUACCCACCUGAAUGUCACCACUUAAUUGACUGAACUGACGGAAAAACAAACCCGUGCUGAUCGAUAGAGAAAUAAUUUUGCAAAUUGUGGGCAUAAAUCUUCAGAGAUCUGUGUGCACUGCCAUUUGUUAAAAUGCUGAAAAGAGCCGUUGUUUGCCAGCAGGGACCCGGCUGAUGGAAAAGCCACCGACUCAGAUUCAAUUCGCCCAAAAUGAGGAGAGGACAGGUGGAUGGCACAUCGGUGACGUUGGUCCUUCUGCUCCUCGUUCCGUUGGCCGGGAAGUGGGGACAGGGGUGCACCCUCCCAUCAGAGGCGAGGGUCGGAGCACCUGGGAGCAGCUCUGUGGACCCCACACCGCAGCCUGGAACCGCUGUUUUAGGGCAUCUUUAAUUGCGUCACCGGAGAGAACACCAGGUUGGCACCUCUCUUCGCGGCUCGGCCCCUUUGACCCUGGACUUGCUGACCUCCCGUGUCAGGAAGGUGGGGCUUCCUCCGGCUCGUCUUUGUGACCUUGCUCGGGGUGCAAGGGGUUACCCUGAGGGACAGCUCCUUCUGGCUGGAGUCUGAAGGUGCCAGAGUUGGGGCGGGCGGGGGUCUCUCCGAGG